rnacentral:rRNA from 1 species
GGGUGCUCGAGUGGCGAACGGGUGAGUAACACGUGAGUAACCUGCCCUUGACUUUGGGAUAACUUCAGGAAACUGGGGCUAAUACCGGAUAGGAGCUCCUGCUGCAUGGUGGGGGUUGGAAAGUUUCGGCGGUUGGGGAUGGACUCGCGGCUUAUCAGCUUGUUGGUGGGGUAGUGGCUUACCAAGGCUUUGACGGGUAGCCGGCCUGAGAGGUGACCGGCCACAUUGGGACUGAGAUACGGCCCAG